UUUCCUACUCGAGUAAUUUAAAGACAAACUACUUGUAUUCCAAAAUGCUCUAAAUUCAGUCAUUUCAAAAAAUUUCAAAAAUUCAGUAAUUUAACAUCACAGGAUACACACUGAAAAUUAGCUCUCUUAAAUAGCCUAUAAAAAUGAUGUUUUUUUUAAAAUCAAAUUUGGAUAUCUCAUCUUAGAACAAAUCUUAAUUUAGUAACUUUCAACAAGGAGUAAUUGGAUGUGCCAUGCAUGUCUUUAGUAGUGUGUGUGUGUGUGUAUGUGUGUGUGUGUCCUCACAUAACGCCCUUUUUAUUUCUAUUCCCAUCAGUCAAAAGCGAUCUCCACAAGUCAGGUUUAACAACCGCACCACACAGCCCACAACCCCACCUCCCCCACACCCCACCCCCAAUACCCACCCUGUGCCCCUCCCAGGCUUCCCAGCAUCCCGCUUCGCCCUUCAUCCAAAAAAACAUGCACGCAGAAAUUACAACGCGUGUGGCUGCAUUGUGGGAAACUUUCCCUCCCUCUCACCCGCUGCAUUUGCCCUUCGUGUCCCUUCUUAUCGUUUUUCUCAUUCCACUACUGUUUUGAAUGAGUUCGGGAGGGGGGUUAUUUUGAUGUUCAUUAAAUUGUCCAACUGAUUAAAUGUUAAUUUGCAACCACAGUGGCGGAGACUACAGCUCAGGCCGAGGUUAACAAGAUAUUAAUGCAAUUCUAAAUAACAUUGGCCUUAAUUUUUUUUUUUUUACGGCCUUUGCAAAUUACAUUCAAGAUAGUUUAUAGGUAAACACUAAAUGUAAAUAAUUGGCAUCGACCUGUCCAGUAUAUAUUCAGGUUUUUAUAGGAAGCAAAAUAAAUAAAUAAAUAAAACAGUAUUUCUCUAAAAUAGAGGAUAAUAGAGGUUAAGGUCUUGUGAUGGAUCUGUGUGUUUAUAGGUGGUCUAAAGGCCUAAAUAUCUAGUAAGCAUACAAACCAGUGCUUAUGAGUUUGGCUACUAUUACAAAUUAGUAUUAUUUAAUUUUUUUGCAUAAUUAAGAUUUAAACUCCUGAUGUUUGGCAGAUCUUUCUCCUGCCUAACAGUCUUACAGUCAAAGUACCAGCCUCCAAAAACAGAAGAUCCAUUAAAAAAACAACAACAAAAACAACACUGCAAAGAUAUUAAAAGCAUGGCAGUACAGACAUGAGCAAAAUAAAUCAAUACACAAAUGCAAGAGGAAAUUUUCUGAUCGCUGCUUGUAAGAAAACUACUUAAAUCAAAAAGCAGCCCCAUUCCUCUCGGUUUGUAGCUUCAGGUUAACUAACAGCACCUCCCUCAAAGCAGCCGUGUUGCUAACCAGCUGUAAUGACACACUCCAUCAGGUUGGCCUUGGCUGCGCGGGGCUAGCUGGGUUAGCAGCCGGCCGAAAUGCGGCAUGAGAAGUGUGCGUGCGUGUGUGUUCGUGUGUGUCUGCCGGCUGUUCAAGCACUUAAGAAUCAGAGAGGAAAGGAGUCGCGCUGCUAAUGGAUGUGUCUAUUGAUGUUCCCAUUUAGCAGCACAGUGUAAACGAUAGGGCAAUGAUUGUGUUGAAAACUGAAGGAGGUGGAGGAGGAGUGGAGUGCGUUUUGGCUGGGCGAUGAUAAUGACAAGGAAGGUUAUUAUUUGGCACCCUGCGGAGUCUCUCUCUGCUUUGCGUGUGAGUGAAGAGAGAGAGCGAGAGAGGCAGACAUGCACUCUUCCUCCAGCUCUCUCGCUCCCUUCGUUCGCCCUGCCUAUUGGCUAUUAUUCUCUUCCCUUUUCCCCUCGCUCAGUACACUCCUCUCUCACGCCAUUACUCACUGCUGCUCAUCUUCAUCCACCUCUGUUGUUCUGUUCUCAAUGGCCAUCCCCUUUCUUCAGAUGUACAGUGCAGAUAUGUUUCGCGAUGGUGGUUUAAAAAAAAAAGCAGAAAAAGAAGUCAAAGACAGGGAAUUGCAGCAGAGGCCGCAAAAUAGUUUCUCAUUAUAAAUUUUUUGGGUUGGAGGUUUCCUUUGAAAUAUUGAUUUACUCACCAGCAGAUAUUUUUUUCCCCCCCAGCUGUGCGUGUGCGUGCUUGUGUGCCAUGUCAGUUUCAAUGAGUGUGUGCGUGAUGAAUAUGAAUAGAGUCAGCCUGCCUGCAGGUUUGGCAGGAGACCACCUCCAGCUGGACUCAGACCCCUACUCAAGUGUGUCUGUGUGUGUUUUGUGAGCGUGGUUGUACACGUCAGCCCGCAUCUGUCAGCGCCUUGACAACCUGAGGAUGAAAUAACAAAAAAAAAUACUACACAAAACGCCACUUGGCACACGAUCCAUCCGAAACCCUUCAACACAGGGGAAAGCGUCCACUUUCGGGGGAAUCGAACCCCUUGUUCAACCGAAGCGAGCUGUGCAUAGAUGCGAUGAAAUUAGAUGGAAAUCCGUGUUUGAAACAGGUUUUGGUAAAUGCUUUCAAAUGUUAGGAUGUUUUAUGUACGUGUUUCAGUGCAUGCACGAUCCUGCCUUUCUCACUUCCUUCGCCUCAAUUACUAUAAUCUGGUCCUCUCAUCCUAGUUCAGUGUGUGUGUGUGUUUUCUUGUUGACUGCAUGUUGUUUGCUAGAAGAUUAACAGUGUUUAAAUUAGUAAAUAUCUUGUCAGCGCAGUGCAGUACAAGUCCAUCUCUCUUUCUGUGUGUGUCUGUAAUCUCAGGGCAGCAGAUAGAGAGAGAGACACCAUUCCAGCUGCGAGGAGACGGAAGAAGUCAACACACACGCACACACACACACGUACACACCGAGCUGGAGUGCGUGAGCAGCCAACACUAGGUGCAAAUAAAGCGGACUGAAAGCAGAAAUAAGUACUGAAGUUUUAUAUUGUCCUUCCAGCUCAAAGAAUGAAAAAGGAAUUUAGUGCGAGAGAGGGUGAGAGUUAGAGGGCUCUCCGCCCACAGAGAAGACUUGCUCCCUCUGCAUCUCUAAGCAGACUGUCAUCCCUGGUCACCAUCAGGUCUGUACUCGCCUCAGUGAACAUUCAACGCUGUCGGUGAGUUUGAGCUAAAUUGAAAAAACCAUCGACCGUUGAUUGUACCCUGUGGCCAGCCUUUGUCACUCAUUGUCUCAAAAGAAGGAAAAAAAAAAAGGAUAAAACUCACGCGGAAACCUGCACACAGACAUGGCCACUGACUCCUUGAACAGUCAUGCAAAGAGCACUGUGUCUGUCCUCCACAAAAACAAACAAAAAAUAUUUCAGGCUUCCAAACCACAGCAAAGGUCACAAUCAACAUUCAUUGCUGUCGGUGGGUUUAACUGUGUGGAAGAGCUCACUGAACGAUGAAUGCAACUGUGUCCCAGAUUUCAUCUGAACGUCAAAGGGAAUAGCGUCUCGAUAUGCUGAUGAUGGCAUUAUUUAUUUCUCUGCCUGCCCCCCACCCUCAACAACAACAGGCACACACAGGCGGUGUGAAUUGACAGGCAGUUCAGAUUGCAUCUUGAUCAUGCUUGCUGCGGCAGAGAGGUCUGAGUCUGGUUACAACAACAGAGGAAGAAGAAAAAAGAUGUAAGAGAUAGUUGGAAGAAAAUGACCUUUAAGAAAAUAUGAGUAUAUGUGGUUCGCAUUGCUUCUAGGGUGUGAUAAGAGAUUUAUCAUUUACCAAUGACUGUACAUUUUGCAUGAAAAAUAAAUAGCAAGAAUAUGUUGAAUAUGAACAGAUGCAUUCCAAUAUGGUAAUUUACAUUUUUGGAUAAAAAAGAAUUUAGUUAUUAAAAGACAAAAAAUUGUCAACUGAACAUGAUGAGACAAUAAGCUGAACCACAACUAAAUAUUUAACUAUCUAUCUAAAUAUGUUGGAAUGGCAUCAUAUGUACUUUUUGGCAAAUCAUUCAAGAGCCAAUAAGCUGUAGAUCUUAAUUGCAUAUUUGUUAUAAUAUUGUGUGAUAAUCGUGUUGUUUUUAUUUUAUCAAAUAAACUGUCACCAAUUCAACCCUCAGUGAUAUAGUUGGUCUUUGUUCCUUCAUUCUUCUUUGGUUGUUUGAAGAAGUGAUGAGGAUGGAUAUAACAGUCAUAUCUAAGCUAUUUAAAAAUUCAGUAAAUUCAUUCAAAUAAAAACAAUUUUUACCAGUCACUACUUUGGAAUCUUUGUCUUGAAAGACUGAAUAUGAUGGCCCCCACUGUUGAACAACCACCAAAAUAAAUAACUACCUUUACUAGAGAAUAAUGUCAUGCAUAAAUAUACUGUUAAUUACUGAAAUGCUGUAGUGGGAGUAGUCUGAUGCAUUUUUGUAUGGCAUUUUAUAUAAAUGUUUUUUGCAUAAAAGCAACAACAAAAUAAUGUAUGGAGUUUACACAAAACCCUAAAAAGCUGUCUGAGAGGUCAGCACAGUGGAUAAUUAUAAUUAUAACAAAUAAAUAAAUAAAUACAGCUUGCAACUGACAAUGACAGUUUCCACAAAAUGUUUCUUUUUUAUUUUUCAAUAUUUAUCUUGCCUCCACAUUUAUAAGAUUCAACAAUUGAGGUUAAAUGACCCUUAAAUUUUAAAAUUUAAUUUCACAAUUUUUUUAAUCUAAAAUGAGGCAUGUAAUCUAAAUAAAAUUACUAUGAAUAGUAGUUCGUGAAAGCCAACUGCUUAGCCAGCACGCCCAAUCGAGAACACAUUUUGAAUAAAUACUUUUGAGAUUCUGUAUAAUUGCAGAUCAAAUUUGAAUCAAUUGUCUUUUCAUAAGCUAAAGAAAAUUUCUAUAAUGUGACACUUGUUUGCAUGUGUCAUCUAAGCUUAUUUGUAUGUUUCUACUACAAACAAAUGCUGUGACACUGCUAUCAGUGGUUUGGUUCAGUCUGUAAAUGGUAAGUUUUCUCACAAAAUAAACAGCGUUAAGCACUGACUUACUUUAAUCUGCUUUGAGAAUUAUAUGCUUGUUUCUGCAGGCUUCCAUCCUGUCUAGUAUGAAAAGUAUCUGAUUCUUUAUCAAAACCACUGACCAGCAGAAAUGAAUAACAGUGCUGGUGCAACAGGAAAACCCCUCUGACGUUGUCUUUCAGUUUCAUUUACGCAUCACAUGGGUCAUAACUGUAAGCUUUCAAAAUAGCCGAGCAGCAUAGCACUUGAGAUGUGCAAUAUCACUAAUUUCCAUUUUAAAUUGUUUUUU